GCGGAGGAAAAGAAACCAACAGGGAUUGCCCCAGUAACGGCGAGUGAAGCGGCAACAGCUCAAAUUUGAAAUCUGGUCCCCCCCGCGGGGGCCCGAGUUGUAAUUUGAAGAGGAUGCUUCUGGCGAGGCGCCGUCCGAGUUCCCUGGAACGGGACGCCGCAGAGGGUGAGAGCCCCGUACGGUCGGACGCCGAGCCUCUGUGAAGCUCCUUCGACGAGUCGAGUAGUUUGGGAAUGCUGCUCAAAAUGGGAGGUAAACCCCUUCUAAAGCUAAAUACCGGCCAGAGACCGAUAGCGCACAAGUAGAGUGAUCGAAAGAUGAAAAGCACUUUGAAAAGAGAGUUAAAAAGCACGUGAAAUUGUUGAAAGGGAAGCGCUUGCGACCAGACUCGCGCCCGUCGGAUCAGCCGUCGCUCGUCGGCGGCGCACUCCGGCGGGCUCGGGCCAGCAUCGGUUCGCCUCCGGGGGGAGAAAGGCGGCGGGAAUGUGGCUCUACGGAGUGUUAUAGCCCGCCGUGCAAUACCC
rnacentral:rRNA from 1 species